rnacentral:lncRNA from 1 species
AAGGGGAUGAUCAUCCUAUCUUAUCCAGCAUUAAUGUAAUUAACUCUUACGUUAUUUAUUUAAUCCAUCUCUUGGUUCUUUGGUGUUUCCUUUCUGAGUUUGAAAUUGCAGUUUCGUCAAAUAAUUUACUUAUAAAUACUCUUGUUAAGAGUAGGUUACGUAUUAUAUUACCAAGGGGGGUUAUAUAUAUUAAACUAAUUAAAUUAUCUUUAGUUUUAUUGAAU